ensembl:lncRNA
GCACUAUCUUUGGCUUUUUCUCUAAGAGGUCCAUGCAGUGAAAAAUUGAAUCAGCUUCUCAGAUAAUUCAAAUCAAAAGGUUGCAGUGAAGCCUCCACAUUCUGAUCCUCUGGGGGUUUUGGUAGCUAUGGGAGCCGGCACUACCUCUGCUCAAGGACACAGCGUCUCAAGGGCACCUAAUCAUUCCCAAGGGCAAAAGCCAUGGGGACUUUGCAACAGAUCAGGUAAGAACUAUACGUUCAUUUCCAGAAUGAAAAUCAGUCUUGCAGUUCAACAUGAUACUUUUAUCUCCCAAACCCAGACAAAUGGAACCAGCUAAUUAAAGCUCAUGACUAGCUAGGCUGAUGACAUGGCAUGAAUUCCUCAGGACUUACAUUGGAGCAUCCCUUGGCCUUGGUGUUUCCCUUGGAAGAAGGAAGUGCAGCAGAGCCUUCUGAGCUGGUUUUAGUUAUUUGGUUUUAUUCACCAGGACCAAGCUACCCUUAAAUACAUACAGUAUUUUAUGAGAAAAAAGAAGCCUGCUUUCAUCAUUCCAAAUGAAACCUUCGGGCAUUUCAAGUAAUACAUGUUACAGCUUUGAAGAAUAAAGAUAUUGAAUGGUGAGAAUUUAAAAAUAUCGAAGGGACUUUCAGAUGGCAAUUUUAUAAUCUGAAACUUUAAAAAACAAAACUUGGAAACUUAAAAAGCAAAAUUGUAUAAUCUGAGUUGUCUCUUUACACAUUUAUGAAAUUUUGUGGAAAAGCAAAUCUUUAUAUGAAAGGAGAACUUGGAAAUUUUAAAAUAUGAGUUGUUAUUUUGUUUCCCAGAGCUAAUACAGGAACCGUAAACCACAAGUGAAACUGCUGGAUGACACUAAGAGUAGUAAUAAUGUUCAUUUCCUGAUGUCAGAAAGAUGGAAAAAGGAAGUACACACUUCUGCAAUUGAAUUGAACUAAAGCAAUUCAAUGAUGCCGGCUUUGGUUGAAAUGAUGAGUCUGGCCACUAACAGAGUUUCCUUACAAGCAGGCCAUGGCCAAAAGGAGAUCAACAGACAAGAUGCCAAAAUCAUCAGCAGGACCUGCCAUUGGAUUCCUUUGAAUCUUUUCUUGCCGUCUUCAAUCUUAGGCUGCCUUCCUUGCCGGCUUAAUAAAGUUGGUGUGUUAGACAUUUUCAGUUAUUCCGUCAGAUCUACCCUCUGCCUUUCUCUGUCUGCCCUGGGCCCUGCAAGACCCAGCUGUAUGGAUUACAUGAGCGGGCACCCUUAUCUGCUGACUUCUGCCUGGAUUCCACCAGUUGAAAGACCCUUCAGGAAACUGAACAUAGAGAAUGAAACUGAGGUCUGUGGUUCCAAACUCUAUACGACAGCUCCCUGGGUCACCCCAAGAAAUUCACAGAGACGCCAAGGAAUGAUGCAAACUUCUGAGGAAAACAGUGACACUCAACACCUACCAAAUAGCACGUGA